CAGGACAUAAUUUAAUUAGAAUAUUGGCUUUGGGGGCCAGUUGUAGAGGUUAAACUCCUUUUGUCUUGA
rnacentral:tRNA from 1 species